rnacentral:tRNA from 2 species
UUUCAUAUAGUUUAACUUAAAACAAUUCAUUUUCAAUGAAUAGAUAAAUUUAAUUUUAUGAAUA